rnacentral:rRNA from 1 species
AUUGAACGCUAGCGGGAUGCCUUACACAUGCAAGUCGAACGGAGUGGCGAACGGGUGAGUAAUGUAUCGGAACGUGCCCAGUAGCGGGGGAUAACUACGCGAAAGCGUAGCUAAUACCGCAUACUAUUGGACCGGCUGAUAGCGGAUUGGCUAGUGGGUGGGGUAACGGCCCACCCAGGCGACGAUCCGUAGCUGGUUUGAGAGGAGGACCAGCCACAUGGGGACUGAGACACGGCCCAGACUCCUACGGGAGGAGGCAGUGGGGAAUUUUGGACAAUGGGGGAAACCCUGAUGCAGCAAUCCCGCGUGGGGGUUGAAGGCCUUCGGGUUGUAAAGCACUUUUGGCAGGAAAGCGGUACCUGCAGAAUAAGCACCGGCUAACUACGUGCCAGCAGCCGCGGUAAUAC